CAUAGGUCAGCUCACUUAACUAAAAAUAGACUAAAAGUGCAAGAAUUAUAUAUUUUAUCCUCAAAACUUAGCUAAAACAUGGGUAAGUUAUGGUGCUUAGACGUAUAAAUACGCCCAACAUCACAAUUCUCUAACAAAGGCGACAAGUCCUCUUCGAAACAUGUAGCUCUGUUCCGGAACUCAUGAUAAGGGACUUCAAGAAGAUAAGACAACUAUGGUUUAUUUGUUUUUAACACGUUUUCAUUUAUUUUGUAGGGGUUUAUUCUGUCACAAUAGACUCUGAAGAGGGGACGGCUAAGAUUUCUGGUGAAGUCAAUCCAAACCUUCUCUUGAGGGCAUUAUCUAGAUCAGGCCUUGGCAACCAUGCAGAGUUGAAAUGGGCGAAACUUAAGCACCCAGCGUUGAGCAAUGGUUAUAUGGCUGAUGGAUAUGGUUCCUAUAAUCAUGGUUAUGGCUCUCAUAAUCAUGGAUAUGGUUCUUAUAAUUAUAACAGUUAUAGUCUCGGUCAUGGUCAUAGCUAUAAUUCUCUUGGUGGUGCUUUUAGGCGAGUUAGGUCAUUGCCCGAAUGUAGUUAUGGCUAUGAGGGAUACAACAAUUACCAAUAUCCUUUUAGGGGCAUUGGACAAGACUCUUACGCCCAGAACUAUUACUCCGGUGCUCUGCCACCACCUAGGCCAUGCAACUAUUAUAUGUAGAGAACCGGGGAGAUUCUUAAUGGCUCGUUGGCUUUCAUCACGACAACAAGAAGUUUUUUCGCGAACAUUUCUUCUUACUUCUGUCUACUAAGCAAACAUCUAUAUAUAUUUAAAGUGUAGCUACAGUUGAAUAUCUUUUCUUUUUAUCUAAAGUAAACAGUUUUCAUCUGCAC